GGGUUAGGAGGCUUUAGUGUGUCUAGAAGAGAAAUGACAAGGGGUCUAAAGUAAAAGAGUAGCAAUUUUAAAAAAAAUGAAAACCAGAUUGGAGGGGCAGACAGGAAAACUAUUUCUAAGACAGAAUCAUAGGAUCUAGUAACUAAUUAAUUGUAGGGGGUGAGUGUCCAGGGAAGUCAGGAAUAACAGAUUUUAUUGGUAAGAUAAGUCAUCUGUUUUUUGCUAGGUUGAGCCUGAGGUCCUAGCAAGACCUCUAGGUAGAGAUAUCCAAUAGAUCACUGGAACUGAGAAAGUGAAGAAAGAACAGACUCCAACCCACUUUGAUAUGCCAGUUCAAUGAAGUGCUUGGCAGCUCAGGAGCAGAAAAAGUAUAUGGAUCCAAGGUUCCAAAAAUCAAAUGCUUUGGAGAAUAGAAGGGACUGAAAUUCAUUUUGAACAAGGGUGAAAGUUAGAGAAAGCUGCCAGUGUCUAAUUUCAGGUAAGAUAUCACCUGGCAAAAUGUCUUUGGGUUCAAAAGUUGACAGAAAAACAUAUAUUUGACCACCUAUUGUAUAUGAAUGAUACAUAUACAUGUACCUAGAGCUUCAUAGCUUACAAAACAGUUUCACAUAUAUUAUCUCACUUCAUCCUUACAAUUCUGUAAGGUAGUUACAGCAGGCAUUGUUCAUAUAUAUGUGUGUGUGUAUUUUUUUUUAAGAGAGAACUGUGGAUUCAAAUAAUUUUUUACUUGUUUCAGUCACAGCACUAGUGAUGGCAACACUGAGACUAGAAUCUAGGCCUUCUAACUCCUUUAAGUGUUCUUUCCCCUAUACUAUACCAAUACCACAGAAAUAAGUAAAGAAGGCAGGCCUUCACUGUAGCCUCAGAAAUGGAAUAUGUGUAACAACUCUCAAAAGAAUCAACUGCUAUUGGGUUAUACUUUGUUAUUCCUAGGGUUACCAGCAGCUACCUAGAUAGAAGGGAUCAUAUAUCAUGGACUUAGAACUGGAAAGGACCUUAGAGGCCAACUCUCUCAUUUGACACAUAAGGAAGUAGAGACUUAAAGAAGUUAUGUGAUUUGCCCAGUAAUAGAGAAUUUGAACCUAAGUCUUCUUGUCUAGGUCCAGCACUUUAUACAUUAUAACAUAAGAAAAUUGUGGCUUAAGGUCAUGUAGUUACUAAGAGGCUAAGAUCCAGUAUCCAAAGUCAGGUCUCCUAACUCCAAUCCCAUACUCACAAUUGAACCACAAUACCUCUAUAUGGCUGUGGCACCCUUACCUGAAAUCUCCAGAAGGACUUCAGCUUCUGCCUGUUGUUCCCCAAUUGUCACAGUACAGUAGUAAGAGCCUAGAUCUGCCAUAGCCACACGAUGGAGAAGAAGGGAAGCAUUGCCCUUCCGAAGACCCUCAGCACUUUCUGGUAGCUCUGUGCCUGGGCGCUGGGUCACCAAGAUUCCAUCAUAUUCUGCUAGGAGCUGCUGGCCAUGGUGCCAGGCAACGGUGGGAAUUGGUGUGUCCUCACCCACUACUGGGAAAAUGCACUGAAGAAGCACAUCUGACCCUGGGGAGACCAGCACUGGAGAAGGGUCCAUGGAAAUGUGGAAGGUAGCUGGAUUAGGAAAGGAAACUUACCAUGUGUAAAGCAGUGAUUCAAUGCCAGGAGGCCCCCUAGACCUUCCCAAAUGUGCUUUUAAAACAUCUGACAUAAGGGUGUAAAGCCACAAAGCAUACCUUUGAAAGAUAGCACUCUUCCCCCAUGCUCCCUACUGGGAUUUGUCUCUCAUGGAAUCACAGAUUGUCAGUGGAACCUCAGACUUCAUUUAUCCAACUUCAUUUAGAGGCCUUGGGCCACGAGAGCAAUCUGAGCAUGGUUUCCCUGCCAGUUAAGUACCCAUACAUAGGUAGGUCUUGCACUCAAGUCUACAGCAUAGCAUGGUGCUCUGCCUCCCCCCUUCCCUCACAGGCACUCACUGCCUCCCCCACCUCUCUAGCAAACCCCAAGGAGGACCUCAAGGGCAGGCGGGAUUCAAGUCCCCUGAUAGUCCUCCUCCAACUCACCAGCUCCCCCGAGCCAGAACCACAGUGUCCAUUCCAUACUGGCUGCCCCCACACACCUCCCCUAACUUGGGCUCUUUCGACUUGCCGCCCUUCAACUUGGCCCCGGGCUGCGGCUGAGCCCCGGCAGGCGGGAGGGAGCCAGGGGCCCGCCCCUGCUCCGAGGCCAAGGCUAAAACUGUGGGGGCGGAGACACAGGGAGGCUCCUACAUCCGAGACCUCGAACGCCCACUCGCCCCCCCCUGCCGGUAACGGCGCCGGCUCGCGCCGCUGAAGCUUUCCCGCCGCACCCACCCCCAACCUGCCGUCAUCGUCGUCGCCGUAACCAUAAGCUGAGAAGUGGAAAACAGCCAUUCCGAACGCCCACGGAAGCGUGCUGCGCAUGCGCCCCUCUCGCCUGGUAAGUGGGCGGAGUCCCGGAUGAGGAUUCCGCGUCGUAUCGGGGCGAAAGAAAGGCCGCACUCGCUGAUUGGCUGCGGGGCCUAGGCGCCACAAGCAUAAAAGGAAGACUCCCGGUGUGGAGGGACGGGGAGCCUCAGGCGUGUAUGCGCGCCUGAGUGGCAAUGCUUGUCUGAUCAUAGCUUACGCCGCGAUUCCCUUCCCCGUAUAGAACCAUCUCAAUUUCUUCUUUCAUCAUGGGUCACCCGACUUUGCAACAUAAAACCGGCCCAAUCACUCUUUAUUUUUUAUUAUUUGUUUUAUUGCUAUUCCUCCUCUUUUGUGGUUGGUAUAUCUAUGCCCGAAUGCACAUGCGGAGGGCUCUAGCAGAAGGAGCUGAUGAUGCCACCUGGAAUGACUUCAGGCCUCAAAGAUGGCAUCCGGUCCAUCUUCCCCCAAAUCAAGAGGUCUGCGGGUUAGACCUGGCCCAGGCCUGAAUCAGGGAAGUGUGUUCACAGCACCCAAAUCCAAACUGGCCAAUUCUCUUGGAGAGCUACUGGAAAGGAACAGCUGAGCUGAUUUGUUUCCUGUGACCUAGCUGAUGACAUGGAUUCAUAAUUGUUGCUGUGACUACAUCCGGUUCAUUUGAAAUGAGCAUCAUGCUGACUUAUAAGAUGAUCAAUGAAGUAACUGUGAUCAUAGUAGCAAGAGCAUCUGACUUCAAGACAUUUCAACUGUAACCUUACUUCCAAUACUUAUGACCAACCACAGACAAAUCGUUAGUCUGUUUUCCUCAUCAGUAAAAUGGGGAAGAUAUUUGUGCUACCUGCUUACAUUAUUUCUCUAAGAAAAUCUAUGCACCAAUAAAACUGAUCCUACUUUUUUGCCCUUCAGAGAAAAUAUAUUUGGUCCAAAAAUCCUUCAAGACUUAUAUCACUCCUCUAAUGAAACUUUCCCAUAUUAUAUACCAAACCAUCUCUCAAAAGGUCAUUUUAAGACCAAAGGACUGAGAUUACUAUCUCUGACAGGUAGUCUACCCCAAAUGAGUUUGGAUAUUUGAAUUUUACAUAACUAUAAAAUAAUGCAGUUCAAAUUCCACCUCUUCCAUGAAGCCCAUUAGUGGUACCCCUUAGCCAACAAACUCUUUAAAUUCCUGUUGAGCCAACUCUUAUGACUGAUCACUUAUUCAAGUUAUUUCUAUCCUUAUCUUCAUCAAUCUAUUUGAUGACAACAAAGCAUCUUAAUCAUUUGUUUCUUUAGCACCUAUGUGUAGGGGCUCACACAUAACUAAGUACUCAAUCACAUUUAGACUCAAAAGAAUCUCAAGAGGCUCAGUCAAUGUGGCUUAUUUACAGAUAGGGAAAGUGAAACCAAAAGACUUUAACAAUUUGCUCAUGGGGAUCACAGUUAGCUAAGAGGCAAAACCAGGACCUAAACUCCCUCAAGUGGGCUCUAGAAAGUAAAACAAACCAAACUUUGCUAGAAAGAUUUGAGGGGUCAGCUGGAUAGCUCAGUGGAAUGAGAGCCAGGCCUAGAGAUAGGAGGUCCUAGGUUCAAAUCUGGAUUCAGAUACUUCUUAGCUAUGUGGCCCUGGGCAAGUCACUUAACCCCCAUUGCCUAACCCUUACAUAGUAUUGAUUCUAAGAUGGAAGAUAAGGGGUUAAAAAAGAAAGAUAAUUUGAGAAUAGAUCACCCUCUCUAUGGGAAAGGGAGGGAAUUAUGGGUGUGCAACUCUGUAUACAAUGUUAGACUUGGUUAAUAAUUCUUUAUUGCGUGGUUUUAAAAAAUCCUUUGUUAAAAUGCAAUGCUGGUCAGGGAUCAUAGGAUCAUAGUUGGUCUGGAAAGGUAAACCAGGUUUCCCUUCACCCAAAUGGCCCCUGCUCAAGUCAUAGAUUUUGUAUCUCGAAUGCAUAAAAGAGUAAAGGAAUGAUCAUUACUGACUAGUAAACCUUUGCAAGCUCUAGUCCAGGAUUCUUUUAAAGUCAAACAAGAGAAUAGUAUUAUGCCCUCUGACAUUUAAGAAUGGGGCUAAGGGACAGCUGGAUAGCUCAGUGGAUUGAAUCAGGCCAAGAGACGGAGAUCCUAGGUUCAAAUCUGGCCUCAGACACUUCCCAGCUGUGUGACCCUGGACAAGUCACUUAACUCCCACUGCCUAGCCCUUACCACUCUUCUGCCUUGGAACCAAUACUCAGUAUCGAUUCUAAGAUAGAAGGUAAGGGUUUAAAAAAAAAAAGAAUGGGGCUGUUUAAGUGGCCAAAAAUAAAAACAGAACCGGUAUUAGAAUGAGAAGCAACAUGUACAGUAGGGUUCCUUCUACUUUCAUAAUGAAUGAAGAAAAGCGCUGAGGAGAGACAGAGCAAAAAGGCAGAAUAUAUCCUCACUUUGACAACUCAUGGACAUAAGAGAUGAGGAUUAACUCAUGGUGGAUAACUGAUAGAAGUGCAUAUUCCAAGAACAGCUAACUUCUACUUAAUCUCAGGACCACACUGACCAAUUCUUCAAAAUAUUCCACAAACAAGGAAAAAGUCACAUCCUACCUUCUCAACUUCUCUUGAUAGCAUUCCCUCUCUACUUCUUGAUCUGUCUCACAAUUGUUUCAAGUAUAUACUAAUUAUUUCCCAGGUAAGAUCAUAAUCUUUAAAGGUAGAGAAUAUGUCACUUGUUUAUCAUAGUGAAUACUUUGGAAAUACCACAGUAGUGAGUUAUCUGAUAAAUCAACUUGAAAUAUACAGAAAGCCUGAGUAAUUUUAAUGUAUGUUAAUGUCCCAAACACAGUU